GAUGAACGCUGGCGGCGUGCUUAACACAUGCAAGUCGAACGAAGCACCGGAGCGGAAUUCUACGGAAUGAAGCAAGGAUGACUGAGUGGCGGACGGGUGAGUAACGCGUGGGCAACCUGCCCCAUACAGGGGGACAACGGCUGGAAACGGCCGCUAAUACCCCUUAAGCGCACAAAGCGGCAUCGCUAAGUGUGAAAAGCAGAAAUGCGGUAUGGGAUGGGCCCGCGUCUUUUUUAGCUAAUUGGCGGGGCAGCGGCCCACCAUGGCGACGAUCAGUAGCCGACCUGAGAGGGUGACCGGCCACAUUGGGACUGAGACACGGCCCAAACUCCUACGGGAGGCAGCAGUGGGGAAUAUUGCACAAUGGGCGCAAGCCUGAUGCAGCGACGCCGCGUGAGUGAGAGUAUCUCGGUAUGUAAGCCUUAUCAGCAGGAAGAAAAAAGACGGUACCUGACUAGAGCUCCGGCUACUACGUGCCAGCAGCCGCGGUAUACGUAGGUGGCAGCGUUGUCCGGAAUUAUGGGCGUAAGGGAGCGCGAGCGCGGCCUCCAGUCUCUACUUUAAUUUGAGCACAUAAAUUGUGUAUGUGUGGGAACACGUAUCUCUGGACACGAGAAGAGAAGAGGAUACUCUCGGUCGCGUCGGGAAUGUUAAUUGGACCUUGGAAGGGGUGGAAAACCACGCACUGGGGAAGAUACCGCCCCCUCAAACUACAGAUGCG
rnacentral:rRNA from 1 species